rnacentral:ncRNA from 1 species
GCCCGGGAGAGACCCGUUAUUAACGGGAACCGAAGGGGCAAAAGGAAACUCUCAGGUAAAAGUACCGGA